AACGAACGCUGGCGGCAGGCCUAACACAUGCAAGUCGAGCGAAGCCUUCGGGCUUAGCGGCGGACGGGUGAGUAACGCGUGGGAACGUGCCCUUUGCUACGGAAUAGCCCCGGGAAACUGGGAGUAAUACCGUAUGUGCCCUUCGGGGGAAAGAUCUAUCGGCAAAGGAUCGGCCCGCGUUGGAUUAGGUAGUUGGUGGGGUAAUGGCCUACCAAGCCGACGAUCCAUAGCUGGUUUGAGAGGAUGAUCAGCCACACUGGGACUGAGACACGGCCCAGACUCCUACGGGAGGCAGCAGUGGGGAAUCUUAGACAAUGGGGGAAACCCUGAUCUAGCCAUGCCGCGUGAUCGAUGAAGGCCUUAGGGUUGUAAAGAUCUUUCAGUGGGGAAGAUAAUGACUGUACCCACAGGAGAAGCCCCGGCUAACUCCGUGCCAGCCGCCGCGGUAAUAC
rnacentral:rRNA from 1 species